GAUGGGUUUUGGGAACUUGGUUGUGAGG
rnacentral:piRNA from 1 species